GGGACAGUCAGCACAAUCCAUAGACCAGAACUUCACAGCUCCUGCAGGGAAAGGAAAUUCCCUUAUGCCGAGAGGAUGGCCCAGUGGGUAAAGCCCUUGCUGCACGAACCUGGUGACCUCAGUUCGGAUUCUCAGGACACGCAAAGGUCAGACUCGGUAGCACAAGGUGGGGUGCGUUAGUGUUCUCCCGAGUCGAUCAGCAAUUGAUGUGGUUGUCAAGAGGACUAAGCAAAGAAUCUGGCCGUUCCUGACAUGGGGAACAGUUCCCUCUGAUGUUGUGAAGAAUGAAGGGAGGAGGUUCCCGGAGCUUGUGUCGACUUAAAGUCAGACUGCAGCUGUUUACUCAGAGAGAACGUUUGUCAAUGGCAUUUGCAACCGAAUGGGUCAGUUUAGUUUAAUAGUGUACUAGUAAAAGACUUUAAGACCCCCUUUUCGAACAGAGUAGGAGCUGGAGAGGUAGCCCAGCAGUUCAGAGCAUGGACUGCUCUUGCAGAGCUCCUGGCUUAGUUCCCAGCACCCACAGUAAGAGGCUCCCAACUGCCCAAAACUCCAGUUCUGAGGGAUCCAACACCCUCAGGUCUCUGUGGGCGUUUGCACUCAUCUGAUACGUAUAAACUCGGUGAGGUCCAUGCGCACAAAUACAUACAUACAUACAUACACACACACAUACGUACAUACUGUAAAAAAAUGGUAACUUUUCAGAGUUUCACCUCAAUGGUUCAGAUACAGAAAGGGAACCAACCAAGACAAGCCUAUAACCCCAUCCCCAAAGGCAGAACUGACAUACGAAAUACAUGGUGGAUGUGUAUUGUCUGCAACAUCAUGUCACAGAGACAACAUGCUGUGUUUCCAAUUUAAUAAGAACACAAAAUAUUAAAACAUUUCCAUACAAAUGUAUAAAUAACAUAUUUUGCUUGACUGUUCAGUGUUCUGUAGUAUGGGCAUA